rnacentral:rRNA from 1 species
CAAUAGCGUAUAUUAAAGUUGUUGCAGUUAGAACGCUCGUAGUCGGAUUUCGGGGCGGGCCGACCGGUCUGCCGAUGGGUAUGCACUGGUCGGCGCGUCCUUCCUUCCGGAGACCGUCCCUACUCUUAACUGAGCGGGGGCGGGAGACGGGACUUUUACUUUGAAAAAAUCAGAGUGUUUCAAGCAGGCAGCUCGCUCUUGCAUGGAUUAGCAUGGGAUAAUGAAAUAGGACUUUGGUGCUAUUUUGUUGGUUUCGAACACCGAAGUAAUGAUGAGAAGGGACAGUCAGGGGCACUCGUAUUCCGCCGAGAGAGGUGAAAUUCUCAGACCAGCGGAAGACGAACCACUGCGAAAGCAUUUGCCAGGGAUGUUUUCACUGA